GACGAACGCUGGCGGCGUGCUUAACACAUGCAAGUCGAACGGAAAGGCCAUGCUUUUGUUGGGUGCUCGAGUGGCGAAGGGGUGAGUAACACGUGUGUAACCUGCACUUGACUUUGGGAUAACUUCUGGAAACUGGGGCUCCUACAGGGUAUAAGAUCCUGCUGCAUAGGGGGGGUUGGAAAGUUUCGGCGGUUGGGGAUGGACUCGCGGCUUAUCAGCUUGUUGGUGGGGUAGUGGCUUACCAAGGCUUUGACGGGUAGCCGGCCUGGGAGGGGGACCGGCCACAUGAGGACUGAGAUACGGCACAGACUCCUAUCGGAGGCAGCAGUGGGGAAGAUUGCACAAGGGGCGGAAGCCAGAUGCAGCAACGCCGCGUGCGGGAAGAUGUGCUUCGGGUUGUAAACAGCUGUCGCCUGUGACGAAGAGUUAGUGACGGUAACGGGUAAAGAAGCACCGGCUAACUACGUG
rnacentral:rRNA from 1 species